rnacentral:rRNA from 1 species
UACGUAGGGUGCAGGCGUUUAAUCGGAAUUACUGGGCGUAAAGCGUGCGCAGGCGGUUUGCUAAGACAGGUGUGAAAUCCCCGGGCUUAACCUGGGAACUGCGCUUGUUACUGGCAGGCUUGAGUGUGGCAGAGGGGGGGUGGAAUUCCACGUGUAGCAGUGAAAUGCGUAGAGAUGUGGAGGAACACCGAUGGCGAAGGCAGCCCCCCUGGGCUAACACUGACGCUCAUGCACGAAAGCGUGGGGAGCAAACAGG